rnacentral:rRNA from 1 species
CUGGAGGUAUCAGAAGUGCGAAUGCUGACAUAAGUAACGAUAAAGCGGGUGAAAAGCCCGCUCGCCGGAAGACCAAGGGUUCCUGUCCAACGUUAAUCGGGGCAGGGUGAGUCGACCCCUAAGGCGAGGCCGAAAGGCGUAGUCGAUGGGAAACGGGUUAAUAUUCCCGUACUUGGUGUUACUGCGAAGGGGGGACGGAGAAGGCUAUGUUGGCCGGGCGACGGUUGUCCCGGUUUAAGCGUGUAGGUGUGUGUUCCAGGUAAAUCCGGUUCACUUUAACACUGAGGCGUGACGACGAGGCACUACGGUGCUGAAG